GACAGAGGGUGCAAACGUUGUUCGGAAUUACUGGGCGUAAAGCGCGCGCAGGCGGUCCUUUAAGUCUGAUGUGAAAGCCCACGGCUCAACCGUGGAGGGUCAUUGGAAACUGGGGGACUUGAGUGCAGGAGAGAAGAGUGGAAUUCCACGUGUAGCGGUGAAAUGCGCAGAUAUCAGGAGGAACACCGAUGGCGAAGGCAGGACUCUGGGCCGAUACUGACGCUGAGGAGCGAAAGCGUGGGGAGCAAACAGG
rnacentral:rRNA from 1 species